UGGGGAAUAUUGCACAAUGGGCGCAAGCCUGAUGCAGCCAUGCCGCGUGUAUGAAGAAGGCCUUCGGGUUGUAAAGUACUUUCAGCGGGGAGGAAGGGAGUAAAGUUAAUACCUUUGCUCAUUGACGUUACCCGCAGAAGAAGCACCGGCUAACUCCGUGCCAGCAGCCGCGGUAAUACGGAGGGUGCAAGCGUUAAUCGGAAUUACUGGGCGUAAAGCGCACGCAGGCGGUUUGUUAAGUCAGAUGUGAAAUCCUCGGGCUCAACCUGGGAACUGCAUCUGAUACUGGCAAGCUUGAGUCUCGUAGAGGGGGGUAGAAUGCCAGGUGUAGCGGUGAAAUGCGUAGAGAUCUGGAGGAAUACCGGUGGCGAAGGCGGCCCCCUGGACGAAGACUGACGCUCAGGUGCGAAAGCGUGGGGAGCAAACAGG
rnacentral:rRNA from 1 species